rnacentral:rRNA from 1 species
UACGUAGGGUGCGAGCGUUGUCCGGAAUUAUUGGGCGUAAAGAGCUCGUAGGCGGUCUGUCGCGUCGGUCGUGAAAACUUGGGGCUUAACCCUGAGCUUGCGGUCGAUACGGGCAUGACUGGAGUUCGGCAGGGGAGACUGGAAUUCCUGGUGUAGCGGUGAAAUGCGCAGAUAUCAGGAGGAACACCGGUGGCGAAGGCGGCGCUCUGGACCGAGACUGACGCUGAGGCGCGAAAGCGUGGGGAGCAAACAGG